rnacentral:rRNA from 1 species
AUUGAACGCUGGCGGCAUGCCUUACACAUGCAAGUCGAACGGCAGCACGGGUGCUUGCACCUGGUGGCGAGUGGCGAACGGGUGAGUAAUACAUCGGAACGUACCUUAUCGUGGGGGAUAACGCAGCGAAAGUUGCGCUAAUACCGCAUACGCCCUGAGGGGGAAAGCGGGGGACCGUAAGGCCUCGCGCGAUUAGAGCGGCCGAUGUCUGAUUAGCUUGUUGGUGAGGUAAAAGCUCACCAAGGCGAUGAUCAGUAGCUGGCCUGAGAGGACGAUCGGCCACACUGGGACUGAGACGCGGCCCAGACUCCUACGGGAGGCAGCAGUGGGGAAUUUUGGACAAUGGGGGCAACCCUGAUCCAGCAAUGCCGCGUGAGAGAAGAAGGCCUUCGGGUUGUAAAGCUCUUUUGUCAGGGAAGAAACAGCAGCUCUAACACAGUCUGCGAAUGACGGUACCUGAAGAAUAAGCACCGGCUAACUACGUGCCAGCAGCCGCCGUAA